rnacentral:rRNA from 1 species
AUACGGAGGGUGCAAGCGUUGUUCGGAAUCACUGGGCGUAAAGCGCGUGUAGGCGGCUCGACAAGUCGGUUGUGAAAUCCCGAGGCCCAACCUCGGAACUGCAUCCGAAACUGCCGAGCUGGAGUCCUGGAGAGGGUGGCGGAAUUUCCGGUGUAGAGGUGAAAUUCGUAGAUAUCGGAAGGAACACCAGUGGCGAAGGCGGCCACCUGGACAGUGACUGACGCUGAGACGCGAAAGCGUGGGGAGCAAACAGGAUUAGAAACCCCGGUAGUCC